ensembl:lncRNA
CGUGGGGCAACGGCUGCCGUGGAACUGUGAAGGCAGACAACAAGUGUGAUUUGCGAAGCGUGUCUGAAAAAUGGCUGAAAAAGCCGAAAUUUAGUGGCCGGAAAGGCGACUACUAGACCUUGAGGAGAUUUAUGACAUGAGAUGACAUCCUGAAGGAAUGGAGAGACAAAGAGAGACGGAUGGAGGCCUGGUAUGCAAUAGGAACUCUUUAUUCAGCCAGGUUGAAGAGAUAGAAGGGCAGAGCUACAAAAAAGACAGAAAGUCUGCUGUGAUGCGAUGACCUUGGCGGACACGGUGAGGGACUGCAGCUGGGACGAUGAUGG